rnacentral:rRNA from 1 species
AUGCAAGUCGAAGCGAAGCUUUUCAGUAGUUUACUACAGAAAAUGACUGAGCGGCGAACGGGUGAGUAACGCGUGAGCAAUCUACCUUAGUUACUGGGAUAGCCCGAGGAAACUCGGAUUAAUACCGGAUAAUCUUAUUACAUCACAUGAUAUUUUAAGUAAAGGUCAGCCGAACUAAGAUGAGCUCGCGUUCUAUCAGCUUGUUGGUGGGGUAAAAGCCUACCAAGGCUACGACGGAUAGCUGGUCUGAGAGGACGAUCAGCCACACUGGGACUGAGACACGGCCCAGACUCCUACGGGAGGCUGCAGCAGGGAAUAUUGCGCAAUGAGCGAAAGCUUGACGCAGCGACACCGCGUGUGGGAUGACGGUUCUAGGAUUGUAAACCACUUUCAGGAGGGAAGAAAAUGACGGUACCUCCACAAGAAGCCCCGGCCAACUACGUGCCAGCAGCCGCGGUAAUACGUAGGGGGCGAGCGUUGUCCGGAUUUAUUGGGCGUAAAGAGCUCGUAGGCGGUUCAACAAGUCGGUCGUGAAAGUUCAGGGCUUAACCCUGAAAUGUCGAUCGAUACUGUUGUGACUAGGAUAUGGUAGAGGUGAGUGGAAUUCCGAGUGUAGCGGUGAAAUGCGUAGAUAUUCGGAGGAACACCUAUAGCGAAGGCAGCUCACUGGGCCACUAUCGACGCUGAGGAGCGAAAGCUAGGGGAGCAAACAGGAUUAGAUACCCUGGUAGUCCUAGCUGUAAACGAUGGAUACUAGAUGUAGGAAUUGGAUUGACGAUUUCUGUAUCGUAGCUAACGCGUUAAGUAUCCCGCCUGGGGAGUACGGUCGCAAGACUAAAACUCAAAGGAAUUGACGGGACCCCGCACAAGCGGCGGAGCAUGCGGCUUAAUUCGAUGAUACCCGUAGACCUUACCUGGACUAGACAUAUAGGGAAAAGCUAUAGAAAUAUAGUGUGCGUAGCGCCCUGUACAGGUGGUGCAUGCUGUCGUCAGCUCGUGUCGUGAGAUGUGGGUUAGUCCCGCAACGAGCGCAACCCCUGUCCUAUGUGCCAGCAAGUA